rnacentral:rRNA from 1 species
GAUGAACGCUGGCGGCGUGCCUAAUACAUGCAAGUCGAGCGAACAGACGAGGAGCUUGCUCCUCUGACGUUAGCGGCGGACGGGUGAGUAACACGUGGAUAACCUACCUAUAAGACUGGGAUAACUUCGGGAAACCGGAGCUAAUACCGGAUAAUAUAUUGAACCGCAUGGUUCAAUAGUGAAAGACGGUUUUGCUGUCACUUAUAGAUGGAUCCGCGCCGCAUUAGCUAGUUGGUAAGGUAACGGCUUACCAAGGCAACGAUGCGUAGCCGACCUGAGAGGGUGAUCGGCCACACUGGAACUGAGACACGGUCCAGCCUCCUACGGGAGGCAGCAGUAGGGAAUCUUCCGCAAUGGGCGAAAGCCUGACGGAGCAACGCCGCGUGAUUGAUGAAGGUCUUCGGAUCGUAAAACUCUGUUAUUAGGGAAGAACAAAUGUGUAAGUAACUAUGCACGUCUUGACGGUACCUAAUCAGAAAGCCACGGCUAACUACGUG